rnacentral:rRNA from 1 species
AUUGAACGCUGGCGGCGGGCUUAACACAUGCAAGUCGAGCGGGGUGAUGGUGCUUGCACUAUCACUUAGCGGCGGACGGGUGAGUAAUGCUUAGGAAUCUGCCUAUUAGUGGGGGACAACAUCUCGAAAGGGAUGCUAAUACCGCAUACGUCCUACGGGAGAAAGCAGGGGAUCACUUGUGACCUUGCGCUAAUAGAUGAGCCUAAGUCGGAUUAGCUAGUUGGUGGGGUAAAGGCCUACCAAGGCGACGAUCUGUAGCGGGUCUGCGAGGAUGAUCCGCCACACUGGGACUGAGACACGGCCCAGACUCCUACGGGAGGCAGCAGUGGGGAAUAUUGGACAAUGGGGGGAACCCUGAUCCAGCCAUGCCGCGUGUGUGAAGAAGGCCUUAUGGUUGUAAAGCACUUUAAGCGAGGAGGAGGCUCUUUUGGUUAAUACCCAAGAUGAGCGGACGUUACUCGCAGAAUAAGCACCGGCUAACUCUGUGCCAGCAGCCGCCCGAA